rnacentral:lncRNA from 1 species
UCUGACUUCUUUACUGAUAGCCAAAAACCUUUUACUCCACGCACCUUAAUAUCAGAUGCUAAAUCCUUCCUGUCACAGUACAGGUAUUACACUCCUGCUCAAAGGAAAAGGAAAAAUCGCUAUAAGCAGCAGGUGGAUGCUGAAACACAGACUGAUGUAAUCAGCUUUCCCUCUGCAGACAAAGCAUCUGAGAGAAAAGUUAUGACUGAACAUCAGAAGAUUGCAGUGAAGGCUGAAGAUAAAAGACAAACUGUGGAUAAGCCUGAGAGAACAUCUGCUCUUCAGUACUCCUUCCCAAGGUCAACACCCUUGUAUUCUGAGCAGCCUUCAGCAAGGAGGAAAAUCCAGUCUGAAGAAGAGGAGCUUUUAUAUCUGACUUUCAUUGAAGAUGUAACAAAUGAAAUUCUUAAGCUGGGGCUAUUUUCUAACAGGUAGGAUAUGCUUGUUUUCAAAUUUCUGAUGCUGUGUCAAGUACAGAUGGACUCUGUAAGAAUGGGAAGUCAUU